UUUGAAGAUUUGUUUUGCGCU
ensembl:piRNA 21ur-6096 ncRNA